AACAGAUAAAUAAAUUUGGGCACAGAGAGGUUAAAUAUCUUGUUGAAGGUGAAACAGCCAACAAGAAUGGAGCUAGUAUUCAGCCAAGGUGUUUACUGAAGAAUUCACACAUGACAGGAAGCAUUCUUGGUGCUGGGAUGCCUUCUCUUGUGGAAAUGACAGCCUAUUGGUACUACAGGAUUACCUAUGAACUCUGUUUUUAGAAAAAUAUAGAUAUACUUUAGGAGCAGAAAAUGCUGUUUGACUCCACUUAUGGAGGUACCUAGAAUAGUCCAAUUCAUAAAAUCAGAAAGUACACUGGAAGAUGCCAGGGGCCCAGGAGUGAGGGUAGAUGGGAAGGGCAGAUGGGGACUUAGUGUUUAAUGGAGACAGAGUUUCAGUUUAAGCAGGUGAUCAAUGAUGCUGCAAGAUGACUGCAAUUGUGAAUGUACUUAGUGUCACUGAACUGUACAGUUAAAUAUGGUUCGAAUAGUAUGUUUUAUAUUAUAUGACUUCUACCACAAUAAACAUUAAAGAAAUGUGA